rnacentral:rRNA from 1 species
UACGAAGGGUGCAAGCGUUGCUCGGAAUUAUUGGGCGUAAAGGGUAGGUAGGUGGUAAUAAAAGUCUGGGGUGAAAUCCCUGAGCUCAACUCAGGACGUGCCUUGGAAACUUUAUUACUAGAGUGCUGGAGAGGUCCGCAGAAUUCCCGGUGUAGCGGUGAAAUGCGUAGAGAUCGGGAGGAAUACCAGAGGCGAAGGCGGCGGACUGGACAGUCACUGACACUCAACUACGAAAGCGUGGGUAGCAAACAGGG